AUUUUUAACAAAAUAAACACUUAAAAAAUAAAUAAUUAGCACUUUUUUUUUUACCCACAGUGACAGCGCACAGAGCAUAUUGGAACUCUACAGGUGUUGGGACAGAGUUCCUCAGACGAAUGGACGAAAAUGUAUUUUCCAGGCAGUCUUGAGUGAAGCGGCUUGUGAGAACAAAUUUGUGCCCUUGUCUCAACAGGUCAUGCUGGACCUGCAGGAUUGUUGUUGUGGCCAUCACCAGUCCUGUCUGGACUGGUUUCCAGCUGCCCUUGGGACCGAUCUUCAGGCCCCGAAACAGAUGGAUGGAGUCCCGGAGGAAGCUGAUGGCCUUAUCAUACUCCUCCAUCUUGAAAUGACUUAGGGCAGUAACAGUGUUGCGUGACGACAUGAGGUCAAACUUUUUGGUGUCCAAUGUUCAGUCACUGUAUUGGUUGUUGCCACCUACUCCUGCAGGAGGAGAACAAAUCGCUGGCCACUUGCCCUCUUCCACAACCUGGUUGACAUUUCCCAUUACAAACGCCUAGCAGCAGCAGAAACCGUACAGGAGGAGGCUCUUCAUUGAAGAGGUGGGAGAAAUGCUGGUGACCCCACACAUCAAGAAGAGAGGGCGCCUUCCCCGCUCAUCAGCCGCUGCAACAAGAGCGUCAGAUCUGCAGGGUGCUGCCGCAGGCCCCUCUCUCAUCAGUGAACGGAAGAGCAGGAGGCAGUGCCACUUUGCAUGGACAGAAGAGUUUGCGGCCCCUGCUCGACCUGAGCUGGACUCUCACAGCCAGACACAGUGUUUGUAACUGUCUUCACUUUCUGUUGUUCAUUUGUUUCCACGUUGUAUUUUUGGUUCCUACCUUUUAUGUGCAACAUUAUUAGAGGCGGAACUAAUCUGCUGUGUUUUGUGUUACACCUGUUUAAUCGACGCACUGGAUAGUUGCAACGGCAGAGCAACGCAGGACGUUAAAGGAAAACUAAGGAAACCAAGGGAAAAUGCAUAUAAAGUUAUCAGCCCCUCUAGGUGACUAGCAGCCUACGAGUUCUCACGGGUUGGAAUAGGUCCCACAAGAAUAAACCCCGUAUUUAAUCAAGA